rnacentral:rRNA from 1 species
CCUACGGGCGGCAGCAGUGGGGAAUAUUGCGCAAUGGGCGAAAGCCUGACGCAGCGACGCCGCGUGAGGGAUGAAGGUCUUCGGAUCGUAAACCUCUGUCAGCAGGGAAGAACGGUCACUGUGCUAAUCAGCAGUGAAUUGACGGUACCUGCAAAGGAAGCACCGGCUAACUCCGUGCCAGCAGCCGCGGUAAUACGGAGGGUGCGAGCGUUAAUCGGAAUUACUGGGCGUAAAGCGCUCGUAGGCGGUAUGUCAAGUCGAGGGUGAAAUCCUCGGGCGCAACGUGGGAACUGCCUUUGAAACGGGGAGGAGAGAGGAUAGGAGAGGGGGGUAGAAGUGCGGGUGGAGAGGGGAAAUGCGGAGAGAGCAGGAGGAAU